UACGGAGGGUGCGAGCGUUGUCCGGAAUCAUUGGGCGUAAAGGGCGCGUAGGUGGCCCGGUCAGUUCGUGGUGAAAGCGCGGGGCUCAACCCUGCGUCGGCCAUGAAUACUGCCGCGGCUGGAGCACUGUAGAGGCAGGCGGAAUUCCGGGUGUAGCGGUGGAAUGCGUAGAGAUUACAUGGAAUACCAAUUGCGAAGGCAGGUUACUACUAAUGGAUUGGACGCUGAUGGACGAAAGCGUGGGUAGCGAACAGG
rnacentral:rRNA from 1 species